rnacentral:tRNA from 1 species
UCCCUGAUUAUCUAGUGGUUAGGAUUUGGUACUUUUACUGCCAUGGCCUGAGUUCAAUUCCUGGGCGGGGAA